GAUGAAGAACGCAGCGAAAUGCGAUACGUAAUGUGAAUUGCAGAUUUCAGUGAAUCAUCGAAUCUUUGAACGCACAUUGCGCCCGCCAGUAUUCUGGCGGGCAUGCCUGUUCGAGCGUCAUUUCAACCAUCAAGCGCCUCGCUUGUGUUGGGGCCCUGCGGCUGCCGCAGGCCCCUAAAUCCAGUGGCGGGCUCGUCGUCGUACCGAGUGCAGUAAACAUCCUCGCUCAGGGAACCCGACGGGUGCCGGCCGUGAAGCCCCCCCUCCUCAAGGUUGACCUCGGAUCAGGUAGGAAUACCCGCUGAACUUAAGCAUAUCAAUAAGCGGAGGA
rnacentral:misc_RNA from 1 species